GUAUGUAUGUGCGUGUGCAGCAUCUACCAAUGUAUGCUUAUUACGGCAUCAAUGUAUAUACGUGUGUGUGUGCGUGUGUAUACGCUGCACAUAUACAGAGAGUGCCUAUUGCAUCCCCCAAAACUGCGGCUAUCACCUUCCCUGCACAUGAAACGAUUUUGGUCUUCUUUGGAGCAGAAAAUAAUAAUGGCAGACUCUCAGCUUACUCAAGAAAUGAAGAGGCAUACUGUUAUUGUGGUUAUAAAGGCUGAGCACAGCGAUUUAGAAAUAUCUCGAUUUUUUAAAGUUGCCAGAUCUUUCAUCCACAAAGUUUGUAGAUGGAAACAUAUCACCGGUAUCAGAGCAUAAAAAGCAUUCUAAAUGCUCUGAAAUCAUCAGAACACCUGAACUUAUCCAGCAAGUUCAACAGACCAUUGAUUAUAAUCCCAGAAAGUCUAUGAGGUCAAUUGCACAAGAUCUCCAUGUGUCAGAAGGAACUGUCAGAAAUGUUGUCUACAAAGACAUCAGAUAUAAGUCUUAUAUGAUGAGGAAAGGCCAGUUUGUCAGAAAAGGCAAAAUAAAAUCACUACAUCAGAUCUAAAAGGUUCUUAAACAAUCUGAAAAAUCCAACAGAAGAUUUGAUUUGAUUUUUCUCAAAUGAGAAAAACUUCGACCAAGAUCAAAAAGUUAACAGAAGAAAUGACAGAUGGUUAUGUGCAGACCUUUCUGAAGUUCCAAGUGUUAUACAUACAAAAUUUCCUGCAACUGUCAUAGUUUUAGGGGUUGUCAGCAAUGAAGGACAUGUGAUGCCUCCUUACUUCUUUCCACAAGGCCUUAGAUUUAACUCUGCUGUUUACAUUGAGAUCCUGGAAAUAAUUGUUAAGCCCUGGAUAGACAGUGUAUGCAAUGGAAAGCCAUAUGUGUUUCAGUAAGACUCUGCAGUAUCACACAUGUCUCUAUUAACACAGGAAUGGAUGGCUGAAAAUUUUCAUGGUCACAUAACCCCUAACAUUUGACUUCCUAAUUCUCCAGAUCUCAAUCCAUUGGACUAUUACAUGUGGAGCGUUGUUGAGAGAGAGGUCAAUGAACAUGCCCAUAACACCAAAGAUUCUUUGAAAGCUGCCAUAGUCAGAGUAAUGUCCAAAAUGAACCAGGACCACUUGAUUCGAGCAUGUAGAUGAUUUAGAUCUCAUAUAGAAGCAGUUUUUGAAGCUGAAGGUGGCUUUCUUGAAUAACAUUAUAGAA